AGAGCCGACUCAUCGCGGCGAGGGCGCCAGGAUUUGGCCCCUAGUAAAUUCUCUUUAGAGACCGUGCCAACAAAAUCUCUCAGCCAUGGGAAUAGGGCAUUUUUGGCAACUCAGUGCCUUGGCUGUCUCCCCCUGAUGUUUCCUAGUGGUGAGAGGCUAAAGGCAAAAUCCUCACGGGCUUCCUCGCAGCAACAUGCAGCACGGCCACGCUGCGCCCCGGCAGCUUUGGCCUGGUUACAGGCUGGUGAUACAACGCUGAGCGCUGGAGUGCAUCCCUGGAGGGCACAGGGUUUCAGCUUGAAGUACGACGUGUUGGAGGAUUUUGGUGUAGCCGAGUCUCAUAAUCAUAAAUGUACCUUUAAAUAUUAAAUAUGGUGGUUUAUUACACUUUCAAAACUUGCUGCAUGGCUAGAAACCACUUUAUGGAAGCAUUUAAAGUAUGUGCAUUUACAAUAUGUGUGCAGUCAGUAAAGGAAUUAUACAGCCACAGGUUUUAACACAAAUAUAUGCAGGCGCCUAUUGAUAUGAUAAACCAUCAGUAACAUGUGCUGCAAAGCUCCUUAAAUCCUCAUUGACACAACAGACCACUAUUGUGCCAAUAGUGUGCAGAUUAAUGGGGUAUUGUCAAGCUAUUUUAGGCCUUAACUUUCAUUUAUCCUAAAACUUGUUCUUCAUUGUAACUCUUAACCUUUGAAUUCUGCCAGCACAUUUCUUGUCACAAAUAUAUUAAUGGAAUUAAAAGAAACCUGGCUUUUAAAUGUUAA